rnacentral:tRNA from 1 species
UGAGGGAUAGCCAAGCGGUAAGGCACUUGCCUGUUAAGCAAGCCAUGCGUGGGUUCGAAUCCCACUCCCUCAGCCA